rnacentral:rRNA from 1 species
UACGGAGGGUGCAAGCGUUACUCGGAAUCACUGGGCGUAAAGAGCGUGUAGGCGGGUAUAUAAGUCAGAAGUGAAAUCCAAUAGCUUAACUAUAGAACUGCUUUGAAAACUGUUAAUCUAGAAUGUGGGAGAGGUAGAUGGAAUUUCUGGUGUAGGGGUAAAAUCCGUAGAGAUCAGAAGGAAUACCGAUUGCGAAGGCGAUCUACUGGAACAUUAUUGACGCUGAGAUGCGAAAGCGUGGGGAGCAAACAGG